rnacentral:rRNA from 1 species
AAACCAGACUCCUACGGGAGGCAGCAGUGGGGAAUAUUGCGCAAUGGGCGAAAGCCUGACGCAGCGACGCCGCGUGAGGGAAGACGGUUUUCGGAUUGUAAACCUCUGUCCUCUGUGAAGAUGAUGACGGUAGCAGAGGAGGAAGCUCCGGCUAACUACGUGCCAGCAGCCGCGGUAAUACGUAGGGAGCGAGCGUUGUCCGGAUUUAUUGGGUUUAAAGGGUGCGCAGGCGGCACGGCAAGCCGGCGGUCAAAUCGCGGGGCUCAACCCCGCCCAGCCGUCGGAACUGCCGGGCUAGAGUGGGCGAGAAGUGCGCGGAAUGCGUGGUGUAGCGGUGAAAUGCAUAGAUAUCACGCAGAACUCCGAUUGCGAAGGCAGCGCACCGGCGCCCUACUGACGCUCAGGCACGAAAGCGUGGGUAUCGAACAGGAUUAGAUACCCCAGUA